rnacentral:rRNA from 1 species
GUUAUAGGGUCAAGCGAACAAGUGCAUGUGGUGGAUGCCUUGGCGAUCACAGGCGAUGAAGGACGCGGUAGCCUGCGAAAAGCGACGGGGAGCUGGCAAACGAGCUUUGAUCCGUCGAUGUCCGAAUGGGGAAACCCACCUCUUUUGAG